GAUGAACGCUAGCGAUAGGCUUAACACAUGCAAGUCGAGGGGCAGCAUGGUCUUAGCUUGCUAAGGCUGAUGGCGACCGGCGCACGGGUGCGUAACGCGUAUGCAACUUGCCUCACAGAGGGGGAUAACCCGUCGAAAGACGGACUAAUACCGCGUACACUCUAUGUUGGGCAUCCAAUGUAGAGGAAAUGAAAUUCGCUGUGAGAUAGGCAUGCGUCCCAUUAGCUAGUUGGUGAGGUAACGGCUCACCAAGGCGACGAUGGGUAGGGGAACUGAGAGGUGGAACCCCCACACUGGUACUGAGACACGGACCAGACUCCUACGGGAGGCAGCAGUGAGGAAUAUUGGUCAAUGGGCGAGAGCCUGAACCAGCCAAGUCGCGUGAAGGAUGACUGUCUUAUGGAUUGUAAACUUCUUUUAGACGGGAAUAACAAGAGUCACGUGUGGCUCCCUGCAUGUACCGUAUGAAUAAGCAUCGGCUAACUCCGUG
rnacentral:rRNA from 1 species